rnacentral:sRNA from 1 species
GUAAAAGGAAGUUCGGUUAAGUUCGCGACGUCCUGUCGCAACACCGAACUGACAUACAUCCUGUAUG